rnacentral:rRNA from 1 species
GAUGAACGCUGGCGGCGUGCUUAACACAUGCAAGUCGAACGGAAAGGCCCAAGCUUGCUUGGGUACUCGAGUGGCGAACGGGUGAGUAACACGUGGGUGAUCUGCCCUGCACUUCGGGAUAAGCCUGGGAAACUGGGUCUAAUACCGGAUAGGACGAUGGUUUGGAUGCCAUUGUGGAAAGUUUUUUCGGUGUGGGAUGAGCUCGCGGCCUAUCAGCUUGUUGGUGGGGUAAUGGCCUACCAAGGCGUCGACGGGUAGCCGGCCUGAGAGGGUGUACGGCCACAUUGGGACUGAGAUACGGCCCAGACUCCUACGGGAGGCAGCAGUGGGGAAUAUUGCACAAUGGGCGCAAGCCUGAUGCAGCGACGCCGCGUGGGGGAUGACGGCCUCCGGGUUGUAAACUCCUUUCGCUAGGGACGAAGCGUUUUUGUGACGGUACCUGGAGAAGAAGCACCGGCUAACUACGUG